UACGUAGGUGGCAAGCGUUAUCCGGAUUUACUGGGUGUAAAGGGCGUGUAGGCGGGAUGGUAAGUCAGAUGUGAAAACUAUGGGCUCAACCCAUAGCCUGCAUUUGAAACUAUCGUUCUUGAGUGUUGGAGAGGCAGGCGGAAUUCCGUGUGUAGCGGUGAAAUGCGUAGAUAUACGGAGGAACACCAGUGGCGAAGGCGGCCUGCUAGAACAUAACUGACGCUGAAGCACGAAAGCGUGGGUAUCGAACAGG
rnacentral:rRNA from 1 species